CUGUGGGUAGUGUGUAAUAAACAACACAUAAAUGGAUAGGGAUGGAUGAUGUUAUUAAAAUGUUGAUUUUCAAACAAAGAAAGAAAAAAGAUGAAACGUGUUUGUGUGUGUUUGUGUAUAUGUGUGUGUUUGUGUAUAUGUGUCUGUGUCUGUGUGUGUGUGUGUGUAAUUAUGUACACAACCACUGUUUCACCUUGGUAUGGCUUUGUUUUACUGUCAAAUGACUGAAUGAAUGGAUGUUAACCGACACCCCAGCACAAAAACAGAGAUUGGCCAUUGGGUGUCAAACAAGUUAAGUACAUCAAUAUGUCACAACCGUAUUUUAUUGUACAUAAGUUGUGGAGUAUCGGUUGUGUAGAUUAUCUGAAUAUUUUAUUUAGCCUAUUACUCGCAGUUGUCAUAUGGUACCUUUUCACACGUGCAGUCAAAUACCCUAGCACUUGCAAUGGUUUGGUCUGCAGUGGCACAGCGUGAUUGUGGACUAGUCCAUUUUUGUUGACACUUGGUUAAAAGUGCUGGUCAGUGUUAUUGUUAGGGGAACCCAGAGCUGUGAUGCACACAGUGCACGGGCAGUGAUACAUGGUGUGUGGACACGUGUCACGUUUUGGAACUAGAGAGGUUUCCUGUGAACAGCUGGGGUAAGUAGGGUUUUGUUAUGUAUCUAUGUUUAUAUUAUAUUAUACUUGGAGUUGCAUUAUGUUGUAAGUAUUUUAUUUUAACUUGUAUAUUAAGGAAAGGGCUGUAAUUUGUUAGGAAAUUGUAUAGUUUAGCAGUAAAUAUUGUAUGUAUACUUAUAGUAAUAAUUGUUAACACUGGUUAAAGUAAAAAUGGUUGUAUAAUGUAAUUUUAAUAGUUGACAACUUUGUACAUGUAUAGUUAAUGGACAUAGUGUAUUAAAUAAGAAUUGGCCGUAGUGUUUUGUAAAUAGGUUGCACUAAUAAAUGGCCAAUGAAAAGUACUGGAAAUAGAUAUUUUUUGUGGAAACCAGGUUAUAUGCCAAAAUCCUGUAAAUCAAGGUUUAGUUACUUUAUUAUGGUGUAAUCAUGGCAAUUGUAUUAUUUACCAUGUUUUUAUUGUCAGGUCAGGUGUAUUAUUGUGAGCCGGGGUGAUGAUGGGUUACCAGCAGCUUGUUGCGUCACCGUGGGGACUGAUACCGAUGGCCUCGUUGAUAGUGGAAGAGUGACGGUCGGAUUUAUUGAGUUGGGGUGAUAAUGGUUACCAGCAGCUUCUGGUGUCACCGUUGACCGACACUAUAGAUGGCCUUAUUUAUGGAACAGAGUGACGGCGAGUCGAGGGUUGCAAGUACAAAGCAACACUGUUGAUGAACUUGACCUGGACUUGGUUACACGUAUUUGAAAGGGUUCUCUAUUCCAGAGACUGAUAAUUUACUGGUGCUUGGUGCCUGGUGUUAUUAUAUAUGAACAGUAUUACCUUAUUUCCAGUGAAUUGUUUAUAAACCACCACUAAAUAUUAAGAUUAAUAAUUAUUUAUUGAUUCUUGGUGAAAUACAAAUGUAAAAUUAUUUGUUUUUGUUUUCUGUUGGGAAAUUGUGUGAUUAAGAGCCCUUGGUCACUCUUGACGUGACAUUUUGGUGUCAGAAGUGGGAUUCUUGAUCUCACGAUUUCUUGACAGAUUAGCAGUAUAUGAGUAUAUGUAUUUUUGUAUUUUUCUAGUAAUUAUAUAUUUUUGGUUUCUUUUUUUGUUUGUUUAGUGCAACUGAUGGAACUCUGAGUUGGGAAUGGUAGAACUGGUUUGGGAGAAAAUACGGACCCCAGUUGUUCAGGCACCAGUCUCUGUUCCAAGGAUUUUUGGUUUACAAUAAACGGGUAAGUAUACAUUUGCUGUUUGUGUGAACGGGAUAGUGUUGACACUGCGAGUUUUGGUUGUAUUGUUUAACUUUAGGGUAGUAUAGUAUUCUGGGUUGAACUUAGUGCUGGGUACUUCUGAAGGGAAGUUAUAUUUUAACCAAUAGGCAGUGUUUACUUAGGCUAGUUUAAUAUGGACUCGCUUAAGGAAUUAAUGGAGCAAGGAGAGCUACUAGGGUACGAGGGUGAGUCGUUAAGAGAAUUUGUUAGAGAGCAGCAAGCACAGCAACGAGAGGAACGGGCAGCUCAAAGAGAAAAGGAAAUGGAGGCACAACAGCGAGAGGAACGGGUAGCUCAAAGAGAAAAGGAAAGGGAGGAACGUGAGUAUAAGUUAGCUUUGGAAAAGGAAAGGGAGGAACGUGAGUAUAAGUUAGCUUUGGAAAAAUUAGAAUUAGAAAUAAAAGCUAAACAAAUUGAUCAUGAACAUCAGUUGGAAUUAUUACAAAAACAGGCAGAGUUAAGUGGCAAGGGAAAUGUGGUUUUUCAGAAUGUACCUAAAGGGCCUAAAAUUCCUGCUUUUGAGGAUGGUAAGGAUGACAUGGACAGUUAUCUUAGACGAUUUGAGAGAUAUGCGGAAGUUCAAAAGUGGCCAACUGAGAUGUGGGCUACUCAUCUGAGUGCUUUGUUGAAAGGUAGGGCUUUAGAUGUUUAUGCAUCGAUGCCAAGUGAACAAGCUCUUAACUAUAACAAUUUGAAAGAAGCAUUACUUAAAAGAUAUGACUUGACGGAAGAUGGCUUCAGGCUGAAAUUCAGAACUGGAAAACCUGAGACAGGUGAGACUUUCCAACAGUUUUCAGUUAGGUUAGCAAGUUAUUUGAGAAGAUGGUUAGAGAUGUCCAAGACUGAGCAUACUUUUAAAGCCUUGUUUGAUGUCAUAAUGCGUGAUCAGUUUGUACAAAUUUGUAACAGAGAACUAGCUUUAUUUCUGAAGGAAAGAACACCUACAACAAUAGAUGAGAUGAAGAAGGCACAGGAGGACGAUCCUACAUUGAGGAAAUUAUUUGUGCUUGCAGAGAAGGGUCAGCUUUCACAGAACAGGGCACUGUUUUACAAGAAACAAGGGUUACUGUACCGUAAGUUCAAAUCUUCUAAGGUGGAGAAUGGUAAGACUUUCACCCAAUUCAUUGUUCCUCAGCCAUACAGAACUAAGGUGCUGAAACUUGCUCAUGAAUCGAUAAUGUCUGGCCAUUUGGGAACAAAACGCACAGUAAGUAGAAUAUUAGCGGAGUUUUUCUGGCCAGGAGUGCAAGCGGAAGGAAAAAGGUUCUGUCAGUCAUGUGAUAUUUGUCAACGGACUAUCACAAAAGGUAGAGUAUGUAAAGUUCCACUGGAGCAAAUGCCUCUUAUUGAUGAACCUUUUAAACGAGUGGCUGUAGAUUUGGUGGGUCCACUUAAACCUGCAACAGAAAAAGGCAACAGGUAUAUCUUAACCUUAGUUGACUAUGCUACAAGGUAUCCGGAAGCCGUUGCUUUGAAAGGUAUCGAAGCUGAAAGAGUGGCGGAAGCCUUGGUAGACAUAUUUUGUCGAAUAGGUGUUCCAAGAGAGAUGUUGACCGAUAUGGGUACACAGUUCACUUCCACACUUAUGUCAGAGGUAAGUAGAUUGAUUUCUUUGAAACAACUUACUACGACGCCAUACCACCCAUUGUGCAAUGGGUUGGUUGAACGGUUUAACGGUACUUUGAAGCAGAUGUUGAAACGAUUAUGUGCCGAGCGUCCACAAGACUGGGAUAAGUAUUUGAGUGCAGUUCUCUUUGCAUAUCGUGAAGUGCCUCAGGAGAGUUUGGGGUUUUCACCAUUCGAAUUGGUUUAUGGUCAUUCAGUCAGGGGACCAAUGUCAAUCCUCAAAGAAUUAUGGACAAAGGAAGUACAGGAUGAUCAGGUACGGUCAACAUAUCAGUAUGUGAUUGAUCUCCGGGAAAGACUUGAAUUAACACGUCAGAUGGCGAAAGAAAACUUGGAAAAAUCUGCCAGGAGACACAAAUACUAUUACAACAAGAAAGCAAGACAGAGAAAUAUGAAGGUGGGUGAAAAGGUUUUAGUGUUACUGCCAACAGAUAACAAUAAACUAACCAUGCAAUGGAAGGGACCUUAUACCAUUAAGGAAAAGUUGGGGAAUGUAGACUAUCGGUUAGAAGUGAACAGGAAGAUCAAAACAUUCCAUGCGAACAUGUUGAAGCAUUAUGUUCAGAGAGAAAACCAGGAUGGUGUGUUAGCAUUAGUUAACGUUGCUGUCAUAGAUCUUCAGACAGACGAGGGUAUUGAAAGUCAUGAUGGAUUGGUUGAACCUCCGAGUGUAAGAAUCGCCCAGGGUCCGAAUGAGGUAAAGGUGAACUCAGGUUUGGCUUGGGAUCAAAUUCAAGAGGUAAGGAAAUUGUUGUAUGAAUAUUCUGAUGUUUUGUCAGAUUCGCCAGGGUAUACCAGUUUGGCAAGUCAUGACAUCAGACUGUUAUCAGAUACUCCAGUUAGAGUUAAACCCUAUCCUUUGCCUUUUGCAAUGCGUGACGUGGUCGAUGAUGAGGUAAGGAGUAUGUUACAGAUGGAUAUUAUUGAAUAUUCAGAUAGUCCAUAUUCAUCACCCAUAGUCAUUGUCAAAAAGAAAGAUGGGACUAAUAGAUUUUGCAUAGAUUUCAGGAGGUUGAACAAAAUUACCAUUUUCGAUGCUGAACCAAUGCCAAAUGCAGACGAGAUCUUUGCCAAAUUGAAUGGAUGUAGGUAUAUAAGUAAACUGGAUUUGUCAAAGGGCUAUUGGCAGCUACCACUGACAGAAAGCGCGAAAGGAUUAACCGCUUUUCAAACCCCCAUGGGAUUGUUUCAGUUCAAAGUUAUGCCAUUCGGAUUGGUAAAUGCACCUGCUAGUUUUAGUAGACUGAUGAGAAAACUUCUGCAAGAUAUGCAAAAUAUUGAUAAUUUCAUAGAUGAUAUAAUUAUCUACACCACCACUUUUGGAGAACAUAUGCAGGUGUUGAAAGAGCUGCUGAUUAGGUUAAGACAUGCAAAUCUGACUGCAAAGCCAAGUAAGUGCUACAUUGGUUUUCAAAGUUUGGAAUGUCUAGGACACAUAGUGGGAAAUGAAAAGCUGGAACCAGUGCUAGAUAAGGUCAAAGCUAUUAAAGAGGCUAAACAACCGGAGACAAAGAAACAGGUAAAAUCAUUUUUGGGACUAGUUGGGUUUUAUCGAAAAUUCAUUCCAAAUUUUGCAAGCAUUGCUACUCCUUUGACAGACCUAACCAGGAAAGGACAACCAAAUAAGAUUGUAUGGGAACAAGCACAAGAAAAUGCUUUUCAUACAUUGAAAAAUGCUCUUACUAGGUUUCCUAUCUUAAAAUUGCCAGAUGUGGAUAAAACUUUCAUUCUACAGACCGAUGCUUCGGAGAAUGGAAUUGGGGCAGUUUUGUCACAAAUGGAUGAGUGUAUAAAAAUGCCAAUAGCUUAUGCUAGUCGAAAGUACAAGAAAGCAGAAACUCACUAUGCCACAGUUGAGAAAGAAUGUUUAGCUAUUGUGUGGGCUAUACAGAAAUUUCAAAGGUAUUUGUAUGGUCGUGAGUUUAUUUUAGAAACAGAUCAUCAGCCUUUAGUGUAUCUGAACAAAUCAAAAUGUGCAAAUGCAAGACUAAUGCAUUGGGCUUUGGUGUUACAACCAUACAGGUUUCAGAUUGUUGCUAUAAAAGGGUCAGAAAAUGUUGGGGCAGAUUGCUUGAGUAGAUUGUGAAUAUAGUGAUAUAAAAUAGGUUGUGUAGUUGCAAAGUGCUUUGCACUUCUUUUGGGGGGAAGGUAAUGUCACAACCAUAUUUUAUUGUACAUAAGUUGUGGAGUAUCGGUUGUGUAGAUUAUUUGAAUAUUUUAUUUAGCCUAUUACUCGCAGUUGUCAUAUGGUACCUUUUCACACGUGCAGUCAAAUACCCUAGCACUUGCAAUGGUUUGGUCUGCAGUGGCACAGCGUGAUUGUGGACUAGUCCAUUCUUGUUGACACUUGGUUAAAAGUGCUGGUCAGUGCUAUUGUUAGGGGAACCCAGAGCUGUGAUGCACACGGUGCACGGGCAGUGAUACAUGGUGUGUGGACACGUGUCACGUUUUGGAACAAGAGAGGUUUCCUGUGAACAGCUGGGGUAAGUAGGGUUUUGUUAUGUAUCUAUGUUUAUAUUAUAUUAUACUUGGAGUUGCAUUAUGUUGUCAGGUGUAUUAUUGUGAGCCGGGGUGAUGAUGGGUUACCAGCAGCUUGUUGCGUCACCGUGGGGACUGAUACCGAUGGCCUCGUUGAUAGUGGAAGAGCGACGGUCGGAUUUAUUGAGUUGGGGUGAUAAUGGUUACCAGCAGCUUCUGGUGUCACCGUUGACUGACACUAUAGAUGGCCUUAUUUAUGGAACAGAGUGACGGCGAGUCGAGGGUUGCAAGUACAAAGCAACACUGUUGAUGAACUUGACCUGGACUUGGUUACACGUAUUUGAAAGGGUUCUCUAUUCCAGAGACUGAUAAUUUACUGGUGCUUGGUGCCUGGUGUUAUUAUAUAUGAACAGUAUUACCUUAUUUCCAGUGAAUUGUUUAUAAACCACAACUAAAUAUUAAGAUUAAUAAUUAUUUAUUGAUUCUUGGUGAAAUACAAAUGUAAAAUUAUUUGUUUUUGUUUUCUGUUGGGAAAUUGUGUGAUUAAGAGCCCUUGGUCACUCUUGACGUGACAAUAUGAUUACUUCCAUUUAAAAGUAAAAACCAUAAAUAGCGUAAAGAGCUGUGGAAAAUGUACCAAAGAAACAAUACAAAAAUCAAGGUAAGUAUAUUUUAACAUUUUGCAGAAUACAAAAAUCAAGGUAAGUAUAUUUUAACUUUUUUUUAUAGAAAUCAUACUGCUUAAAAAAACUUUAAAAUUAAAUGAUUCCAAAAUAGUUCUGUUGCCAAAUAUAUUGCUUGUAGUCGGCUUCAGAUGUGUCAGGCCCGGCCUCUGACAUCGCCAUCAACAGAGUUCAUGUGCAAUCACAAGACAAAUUAUAAUAAAACUGAGGGAAAAUUAGAAACACCAACAAAUAGGUUAGUAUUAAGCUGUGUGUCAGAAGUGGCUACAAGAGACAAGAACUGGUCAAAAUGAGAUAAGGACUGGGAGGUGGAGCUGGAUAAGAAACCAAUUUAAAGAUAAAUGUUAGAAUGGGGGAAAAUGCCAAACAUCAAAGGAGAGAAAGAAAAUGAGGUCACGAAGAAAAAACCCAGUUGUAUAUUAUAUUAUCUACUAUCUAGUAGAUAAUAUUUAAAAUAUCAAACA